rnacentral:rRNA from 1 species
AGGCAGCAGUGGGGAAUAUUGCACAAUGGGGGAAACCCUGAUGCAGCCAUGCCGCGUGUGUGAAGAAGGCCUUCGGGUUGUAAAGCACUUUCAGUAGGGAGGAAGGUAGUGUAGUUAACACCUGCAUUAUUUGACGUUACCUACAGAAGAAGCACCGGCUAACUCCGUGCCAGCAGCCGCGGUAAUACGGAGGGUGCGAGCGUUAAUCGGAAUUACUGGGCGUAAAGCGCAUGCAGGCGGCCUGUUAAGUCAGAUGUGAAAGCCCGGGGCUUAACCUCGGAAUUGCAUUUGAAACUGGCAGGCUAGAGUCUUGUAGAGGGGGGUAGGAAUUUCAGGUGUAGCGGUGAAAUGCGUAGAGAUCUGAAGGAAUACCAGUGGCGAAGGCGGCCCCCUGGACAAAGACUGACGCUCAGAUGCGAAAGCGUGGGGAGCAAACAGGAUUAGAUACCCUGGUAG